GAGGCUUAUUGCCUGCUUUAAAUGAAGGUCAGAUAAUUAUUAUCUGCUUCAGGAAAAAACAGAGAAGGCCAGAAAAACCCUCCUGCUUCUGCUGUUUUUUCAAAUGCCAAGGUGCCAUUAUUUUGGGGUAGUGUAUCCUAAACCCUGUCAGUGGCUUCCUUUACUGAAUGUGAACUAUCACUGCUUUCCAUUAGUGGAGACAUCUAUCUUUUUCAAAGUUAAAUCUACUAAGCAAGGGAUACUUAAACAAAAACAAACCCCUAGCUUUAUAUGUUUUUUAAAAUUAGUUUCUCCACAAAAUUCUUAUCAAAUAAUUUCCCUUGGGCUACCAGACCAUAAUUAUUGUGCAUAGACUUUUUUUUAAAGAUACAGGAUUUUAAUUUUCUUCACAUAAUAUAGGACA
rnacentral:lncRNA from 1 species